UACAGAGGGUGCAAGCGUUGCUCGGAAUUAUUGGGCGUAAAGAGCGUGUAGGCGGCCUGAAAGGUCAGCUGUGAAAACUCGAGGCUCAACCUCGAGACGUCGGUUGAAACCAUCUGGCUAGAGUCCGGAAGAGGAGUGCGGAAUUCCCGGUGUAGCGGUGAAAUGCGCAGAUAUCGGGAAGAACACCCGUGGCGAAGGCGGCACUCUGGGACGGUACUGACGCUGAGACGCGAAAGCGUGGGGAGCAAACAGG
rnacentral:rRNA from 1 species